UCCGAGUUGUCCCCGGCAGUCCCCUUAGAGUCCCCGGCAUUACCCGCUGGCAACUAAGGACAGGGGUUGCGCUCGUUGCGGCACUUAAGCCAACACCUCACGGCACGAGCUGACGACAGCCAUGCAGCACCUGUGCUAGCCCCUUACGGACACGGGCUUUCACCCGCUUUAACUAGCAUGUCAAGCCUAGGUAAGGUGGGGAUGACGUACCAAGGUUGGUU
rnacentral:misc_RNA from 1 species